GUGCUUGCUUCGGCAGCACAUAUACUAAAACUGGAAUGAGACAGAGAAGAUUAGUAUGACCCCCUGUGCAAAGAUGACAUGCAAAUUCGUGAAGCGUUCCAUAUUUUU